CGGCCUGAGGUCGGACGAGGCUACCCGCUGAAUUUAAGCAUAUUACUAAGCGGAGGAAAAGAAACUAACGAGGAUUCCCUCAGUAACGGCGAGUGAAGCGGGACGAGCCCAGCGCCGAAUCCGGCCGCUUAUGGAGCGGACGGAAUUGUGGCGUAUGGAAUUCGCUUCGAGCGCGGACCGGCUGCCCACGUCCUUCUGAUCGAGGUUCAUGCCC
rnacentral:ncRNA from 1 species